UGGUGCACGCGCGUGGCGAUGGGGGUAUAGCUCGCGUCCGUGCGGUACACGGGUUUGUUUUUGUUAGAAUGUCAUUCUUUUCUUUUCCAGAUGGAUCGGCUGGCAUAUUUAGCGUAGCCCGGUCCUUCAUUCGAAUCAUUUUGCCGAGGAGUUGGGGAACCGGGACUUUCUCCUACCUCGAGAAAUCAACCGCGUGUGAGACGAACCAAAAAGAUUUGCGGCGUUGUCUCGAUCGCGUCGUGGUCUGGUGAUAGAUUGGGGAGACUGGAGGAACGAUGUUGUGUUUUCUUCUUGCUUGCUUAAUUCAAUUUGAAGGGAAGGCCGACUCAGAAAUUGCACCCGACCAUCACGUGUGGCAGGGCUUGGCCGUCCGCCUCCGACAACAAAACCGAUACAUGGUUCCUUGAGAUAACAGGGGUAUAGAGGUUUGUUGCUCUAGCAUAAUACAGCAAAACAUGAGGGGAGGUCGCCCGCCACUGAUUCGUGGUGGGGGCUUUUAAACAGUUGAGUGCGGGCGGCUUGGCCGUAGAAUCGCUGGGGUUGCCACUGAGGCGAGGUGGCAAGGCGUCCGGGGGGCCUUCCCCUAGCUUCGCCUCAACGUACCAAAUCGGGGGAUUAUAAGGUUCCGACGAGGACUCUCUGGAUUUUGCACAGGCUUCAAUAAGACUACAGCUCGGACUUCACUCGGUUGGCUGGCCGGUACCACCACAGGGGAUCAACGCCCGAUGAGCCGUUCCAAGGCACACCCUCCCUUCCGGCUUCCAGCUUCACCCGACUGCAGUCCAACUCGAACCUAACGGUUUGGCUUCCGGAAUAAGUUCCAGCCAGUUGACUCGAGGUACGUGGUUUCGUCCGCGCUGUGAUGUUUCAUCUCGGUGAAGAGGCGUGGGUUUCCUUUCUUUUUAGAGAUCCUUGAGGAAAAUGUGCAGGAGGCGAGAGCGUAAGGCCAGAAAUACAUGAAUUCCAACAACUCGGAUGCUAGACUGUCUAACUCUACAGGUCCUAGGACAAAGCUACAAAUGCCCGGACUAAGUGAAGUGUAGGCCCUAGCAGAUGUACAUGUAUGUACGGAGCCCAAAUUGAUGGGCCAACUUUUAGUAAAGUUUCACGGCACAAAAUGAAGUUUAGUGUACAUCUUUACCUGUCCCGUCUUUUUGCCUUUUAUAGAGGCUCUGCUCUGAUCGAAAUGACAGACCCAUGUGGGGGGGGGGUUAAAUUUUGAGAUAUGUGCAUUUUUUUCUGAAAGGAAUUAGACUUUUCACCCAUAAGAAAAUGUUUAGUUAUAUUCUGUCAGACGUUCUGAAUUCACGAGACGUUUAUUUGUGCAAGUUCCAAAACGUUGUUGGUGUAUUUUAGAUUAUUUUACCUAGUACAGUUCCACUGCUUCAGUAGUUCGAUUGAGGCUCAUUGACUGCAGCACUGUUUAAAAUGCACCAGGUAGGUUUUCGAAAUACUGAUUAAAAAAACUGAUCUCUAUGUAUUUCUCGAUUUAUAAGUUAUAGCUCCAAAAAGGCACGAGCCUGUAAGGUUUAAAGCAGUGAAUUUUACAGAAUAACAACUCUUGACAUUCAUCAUCAGUAAUUAAGAUAAUUAAGCAAUCGUCAAAGACGCCUACAGAAGUAUGUCGAGAAGCUUCACGACCGGCAUUGGUAUAUUUUCAACUUUUUAUUUCAGGAAAUAUAUUUGUUCGUGUCUGAAGAGAAAACACUGCACGUGAAGUGCAGAUGAAAAGAAGUGUUUCUCAUUAAAAGAAAGAAGUUGUGAUAAGGUCUA
rnacentral:lncRNA from 1 species